rnacentral:rRNA from 1 species
AUUGAACGCUGGCGGCAGGCCUAACACAUGCAAGUCGAGCGGAAGAAGGGAGCUUGCUCCUGGAUUCAGCGGCGGACGGGUGUGUAAAGCCUAGGAAUCUGCCUGGUUGUGGGGGAUAACGUCUGGAAACGGGCGCUAAUACCGCAUACGUCCUGAGGGAGAAAGUGGGGGAUCUUUGGACCUCACGCUAUCAGAUGAGUCUAGGUCGGACUAGCUAGUUGGUGGGGUAAAGGCCUACCAAGGCGACGAUCCGUAACUGGUCUGAGAGGAUGGUCAGUCACACUGGAACUGAGACACGGUCCAUACUCCUACGGGAGGCAGCAGUGGGGAAUAUUGGACAAUAGGCGAAAGCCUGGUCCAGCCAUGCCGCGUGUGUGAAGAAGGUCUUCGGAUUGUAAAGCACUUUAAGUUGGGAGGAAGGGCAGUAAGUUAAUACCUUGCUGUUUUGACGUUACCAACAGAAUAAGCACCGGCUAACUACGUG